rnacentral:rRNA from 1 species
GACGAACGCUGGCGGCGUGCUUAACACAUGCAAGUCGAACGGAAAGGCCCUGCUUUUGUGUUGUUCUCGAGUGGCGAACGGGUGAGUAACACGUGUGUAACCUGCCCUUGACUUUGGGAUAACUUCAGGAAACUGGGGCUAAUACCGGAUAGGAGCUCCUGCUGCAUGUUGGUGGUUGGAAAGUUUCGGCGGUUGGGGAUGGACUCGCGGCUUAUCAGCUUGUUGGUGGGGUAGUUGCUUACCAAGGCUUUGACGGGUAGCCGGCCUGAGAGGGUGACCGGCAACAUGGGGACUGAGAGACGGCCCAGAAUCCUACGGGAGGCAGCAGGGGGGAAUAUGGCACAAUGGGCGGAAGCGUGAUGCAGAAACGCCGGGUGCGGGAUGACGGCCUUCGGGUUGUAAACAGCUUUCGAAUGUGACGAAGAGUGAGUGACGGUAAUGGGUAAAGAAGCACCGGCUAACUACGUG